rnacentral:rRNA from 1 species
UACGGAGGGGACUAGCGUUGUUCGGAAUUACUGGGCGUAAAGCGCACGUAGGCGGAUUUGUAAGUCAGGGGUGAAAUCCCGGGGCUCAACCCCGGAACUGCCUUUGAUACUGAUAGUCUCGAGUCCGGAAGAGGUGAGUGGAAUUCCGAGUGUAGAGGUGAAAUUCGUAGAUAUUCGGAGGAACACCAGUGGCGAAGGCGGCUCACUGGUCCGGUACUGACGCUGAGGUGCGAAAGCGUGGGGAGCAAACAGG